rnacentral:misc_RNA from 1 species
GGUUCUUGUUACUAUAAAGCAAACUUUAAUGGAAAACUUUAAUGGGUGACGACUAAUUUGAGUGAUGGAUUUGAUUUGAUAAGUUCUUGGAUGUUGACUUGAAACCCCUUAUCAAAGGAAACUUAUAUUUUGCCCAUUCUUGUUGUUAUUGUGUAUCAAGAUUCAUGCUUGGAGUGCGACAAUGGAGAGGUUUAUGGCCUGCUUUUCAUUUCUUUUAACACUUU